UACGUAGGGUGCAAGCGUUGUCCGGAAUUACUGGGCGUAAAGCGCACGUAGGCGGCUUCUUAAGUCGGUGGUGAAAUCCUGGAGCUCAACUCCAGAACUGCCUUCGAUACUGGGAAGCUCGAGUCCGGGAGAGGUGAGUGGAACUGCGAGUGUAGAGGUGAAAUUCGUAGAUAUUCGCAAGAACACCAGUGGCGAAGGCGGCUCACUGGCCCGGUACUGACGCUGAGGUGCGAAAGCGUGGGUAGCAAACAGG
rnacentral:rRNA from 1 species